GCGCGCUUAAUACAUGCAAGUCGAGCGAGAAAGUACCCUUCGGGGUGCGAGUACAGCGGCGAACGGGUGAGUAACACGUAAGCAAUCUGCCCCUAAAUCUGGGAUAACUCUGCCAACGCGGGGCUAAUACCGGAUGUGGUCACGACAUCGCAUGGUGUUGUGAUUAAAGAUGGCUUCGGCUAUCGUUUAGGGAUGAGCUUGCGGCCCAUUAGCUUGUUGGUGAGGUAACGGCUCACCAAGGCGACGAUGGGUAGCCGACCUGAGAGGGUGAUCGGCCACAUUGGGACUGAGAUACGGCCCAGACUCCUACGGGAGGCAGCAGUAGGGAAUUUUGCGCAAUGGACGAAAGUCUGACGCAGCGACGCCGCGUGAGGGAUGACGGCCUUCGGGUUGUAAACCUCUGUUGAGUGGGACGAAAACUCGCAGGGUUAAUACCCCUGCGACCUGACGGUACCACUCGAGGAAGCUCCGGCUAACUACGUGCCAGCAGCCGCGGUAAUACGUAGGGAGCAAGCGUUGUUCGGAUUCACUGGGCGUAAAGGGAGUGUAGGCGGGAAAGUAAGUUAGGAGUGAAAUACACAGGCUUAACCUGUGGCCCGCUCUUAAUACUGCUUUUCUUGAGUAUGGGAGAGGAAGAUGGAAUUCCAGGUGUACCGGUGGAAUGCGUAGAUAUCUGGAAGAACACCAGUAGCGAAGGCGGUCUUCUGGCCCAAUACUGACGCUGAGGCUCGAAAGCUAGGGGAGCAAACAGGAUUAGAUACCCUGGUAGUCCUAGCCGUAAACGAUGGACACUAGUUGUCGGGGGAGUCAAUCCCUUCGGUGACGAAGCUAACGCAUUAAGUGUCCCGCCUGGGGAGUACGCUCGUAAGGGUGAAACUCAAAGGAAUUGACGGGGGCCCGCACAAGCGGUGGAGCAUGUGCUUUAAUUCGAUGCAACGCGAAGAACCUUACCUGGGUUUGACAUGGGGGUUGAAAGUAACCAGAGAUGGAUACCCUUCCUUCGGGAACACCCCACACAGGUGCUGCAUGGUUGUCGUCAGCUCGUGUCGUGAGAUGUUGGGUUAAGUCCCGCAACGAGCGCAACCCCUA
rnacentral:rRNA from 1 species